AAGACUAUACUUUCAGGGAUCAUUUCUAUAGUUUGUGAAUAACUGCCAACACCAAGAUGGCAGUGAUGUUAGUUAUCUGACAAAGAU
rnacentral:snoRNA from 1 species